rnacentral:rRNA from 1 species
CAGUCGCCGCGGUAAUACAGAGGGUGCGAGCGUUAAUCGGAUUUACUGGGCGUAAAGCGUGCGUAGGCGGCUUCUUAAGUCGGAUGUGAAAUCCCUGAGCUUAACUUAGGAAUUGCAUUCGAUACUGGGAAGCUAGAGUAUGGGAGAGGAUGGUAGAAUUCCAGGUGUAGCGGUGAAAUGCGUAGAUAUGUGGAGGAACACCGAUGGCGAAGGCAGCCUCCUGGGCCAAUACUGACGCUCAUGCACGAAAGCGUGGGGAGCAAACAGGAUUAGAGACCCCCGUAGUCCCUGUCUCUUAUAC